UGGGGAAUAUUGCACAAUGGGGGGAAACCCUGAUGCAGCGACGCCGCGUGAAGGAAGAAGUAUCUCGGUAUGUAAACUUCUAUCAGCAGGGAAGAUAGUGACGGUACCUGACUAAGAAGCCCGGGCUAACUACGUGCC
rnacentral:rRNA from 1 species